rnacentral:rRNA from 1 species
UACGUAGGGUGCGAGCGUUGUCCGGAAUUAUUGGGCGGAAAGAGCUCGUAGGCGGUGUGUCGCGUCGGUCGUGAAAACUUUCAGCUUAACUGGGAGCUUGCGGUCGAUACGGGCAUCACUGGAGUUCGGCAGGGGAGACUGGAAUUCCUGGUGUAGCGGUGAAAUGCGUAGAUAUCAGGAGGAAUACCGAUGGCGAAGGCAGGUCUCUGGGCUGACACUGACGCUCAUGCACGAAAGCGUGGGGAGCAAACAGG